GUCUACGACCAUGCCACCCUGAACAAGCCCAAUGUUUGAUCUCAGAAGCUAAGCAGGGUCAGGCCUGGUUAGUACUUGGAUGGGAGACCACCUAAAAGACCAGGUGCUGUAGGCA
rnacentral:rRNA from 1 species